AUUGAACGCUGGCGGCAGGCCUAACACAUGCAAGUCGAGCGAGUGGCGGACGGGUGAGUAAUGUAUGGGGAUCUGCCUGAUGGAGGGGGAUAACUACUGGAAACGGUAGCUAAUACCGCAUACCAUCAGCUGAACCCAUAUGGGAUUAGCUAGUAGGUGAGGUAAAGGCUCACCAAGGCGACGAUCCCUAGCUGGUCUGAGAGGAUGACCAGCCACACUGGGACUGAGACACGGCCCAGACUCAUACGGGAGGCAGCAGUGGGGAAUAUUGCACAAGGGGCGCAAGCCUGAUGCAGCCAUGCCGCGUGUAUGAAGAAGGCCUUAGGGUUGUAAAGUACUUUCAGUCGGGAGGCGUUACCGACAGAAGAAGCACCGGCUAACUCCGUGCCAGCAGCCGCGGUAAUAC
rnacentral:rRNA from 1 species